GCUAUGGUAGCCUAGUGGUUAGAGCGUCAACCUCGGAUGCACGAGGUCCCGGGUUCAAUCUCCGCCCGUGUCC